rnacentral:tRNA from 1 species
GGUGAGGUGUCCGAGUGGCUGAAGGAGCACGCCUGGAAAUUGUUUAUACGCCAACUUAUCGGGGGUUCGAAUCCCCCCCUCACCG